AACGAACGCUGGCGGCAGGCUUAACACAUGCAAGUCGAACGGUUGUAGCAAUACAGCAGUGGCAGACGGGUGAGUAACACGUGGGAACCUUCCUAGGGGUACGGAACAACUCAGGGAAACUUGAGCUAAUACCGUAUACGUCCGUGAGGAGAAAGAUUUAUCGCCCUUAGACGGGCCCGCGUCGGAUUAGCUAGUUGGUGGGGUAACGGCCUACCAAGGCGACGAUCCGUAGCUGAUCUUAGAGGAUGAUCAGCCACACUGGGACUGAGACACGGCCCAGACUCCUACGGGAGGCAGCAGUGGGGAAUCUUGGACAAUGGGCGCAAGCCUGAUCCAGCCAUGCCGCGUGAGUGAAGAAGGUCUUCGGAUUGUAAAGCUCUUUUACCAGGGACGAUAAUGACGGUACCUGGAGAAUAAGCCCCGGCAAACUUCGUG
rnacentral:rRNA from 1 species